GGUUCCAAUCCUUGUAGGGGAUUUGGUACCUUCCCCCACUGGGCUGACCUGUGAGCACAUGGCAUCCUAGGCAAGCCUGUGCCUGGAAUGUAGCUCUCUUGUGUUUUUUGCCCUUUGAUACAGUGAGCUCUCAAAAGGUUGGAAGAGCCACAGUGGCCCAAGCCAAGCCCUGAAGAUAACUCAUUUUACAGAUAAGGAAACUGAGGCAAACAGGAAUAAGUGGCUUACCCAGAGUCUCAGAGCUUAUGUGUCUGAGGUCAGCUUUGAACUGGGAUCUUCGACUCCAGACCUGGCACUCUAGCUUGUGCACCCCCUAGCUGCCCAUU
rnacentral:lncRNA from 1 species